rnacentral:misc_RNA from 1 species
GAUUUAAAUCAUACAAUGUCAGCCCCUUCAGCACAUAUUAUCGCCUCUCCUGCAACAGCAUCUCCGCGUUCACCACCAACUCCAAUUACGAGUUUUUUGAUGGAUCUUCAGAGGUGGAAUUGAGUUUACCGCUUGGAAGCCAAGAUUUUCAGAGUUCCAGAGAUAUAUUUGUGGAUGCAGAUGGUACCUCCUUAAUUGUCAGAAUACAACGCUCGGGGUCUCUCGCCACACUUAUAGAAACCAAUCAUCUGUUUGAGAAAGUAAAGCCCGCUG